GAAUAAGAAAGCUUCCUACUGAAUAUCAGGCGUCAUUUGUUUAAUAGUUCAUGCCAUUGUUUUCCAUCCUUGCGAUCGAUACAGUCGCCCUUGAAAAUUUCGCCGCCCAUUUCUGCAACACCUUUGUCAUAAUGCACGAAUUGUCUUCCAUAUAUACAAUAAUAAUUUAGAUUAUCUUUACAAUGGAUUUUUAAGAGUGUGUGGACGUAAUUGCAACCGAUAAAAUUAAAUUACGAUACAGAAAUGUCUGUCGUGGCGUUGACGAUGCACGGUGGUGUAAACCGCACGUAACGUAUAGUGUUCAAAAUGUUGAUGUACGUGGAGGACAGCGUGAUUGCUAUACCGAUCGCUACUAUGAAAUAGCCGAAAUCGCUCGUAAGCGUUUGGGUGUGAAUUCUGGUUGACUUUGUGGCGUCUGAGAGAAGUGGCUGAUUCUCUUGCUGAGAUCUGGAGGUUGUCAAAGUAGAGAUACGUGUAACUGGAUUGAAGAUUCAUUGUUUAGUAAAACAUACAUGCAUGUACACACACAGGUAAUCGUACAAGAGUUGGCACCUGUGAGGAUUGUUCGUAGUAUUCAGGAAACCGUAGUACGUUGAAUGCGAGUGAGCUCCAGGGGGCAUUGAACGUUGCUCUUUGCCCCUGAAUCGUUUACGAGCACUUGGAUAAACCCAUUCUGUGGUUGCUAUCGCUUGAGUCGACUUCUUCAGAGUCAAGGCUCGGUUGUACAUUACGGGAGGUAACAGAAAGACUAAUGAUCCGGUCAACGAUCCACCAAUUAGAGUCAUAAUAAUAUCGAAUCGCGAUAUCGAUUCGCCUAUAGCCACGCUGAGUAAAACUACCGCCGAUCUCGUGGCACAUCGUUUCCAUCCAAAGGCUGGUCCAGCAUAAUAUCAAAUGAUCUUCUAGAUGUUGGAAGAGCGCUGAGUAGCCAAUCACGCUAGAAAAGCAUAGCUGAAGAGCUGCUAAUAGAACAGCAACAUUUGCUGCCAGUCCUGGUGGAACAGCUUCGAGGAUAUUGGCAGUCGUAUCGUCACUAUACUUCCAUGCGACUAGGGAAACGGUAACGACGAACAUUGAUCCGCUUGCUAUCGUGUAACAAAAAAGUAAUCUAGAGCCUCAGCCUCAUUGAAUGAAAUUAAGUAAAAAUUGAACAUAUAUUGGAUUCAUUGGAUAUAUGAACGUGAGAAGAUUGAUAUCGAGGGAUUAAUAAUUGCACAAUUAUUUGACACUUCUGAUAUACAAAGAUAAAACGUACAAAAAUAUAAUUUACUGUUUCUUACUUAUGAAAGAAAAAAAGAUAGCUUUGUCGAUAUUUUGAGGCUGACGCAUAUCGACCUGUAUCGUCAUUAGAGUGGGGUGUACAUCAAACUGAAAGGCCAGCAUGCCAUACCUGCAAAUUGUCUUUGAAAUUAUGUUAUUAUUUUUUCGUUUUUGUAUGCCAUAUCCGAACUGCCAGAAGUAUGCGGUCUUUCACAUAUACGUGUGUUGCGUAAUUAGAGCGUUGAUGUGUAUACAGGACCUACAGCUUAGACGGCAGAUGGCCGGUUUCGAACCGAAAGAACAGUUAAUAUAUUAGAGAGAUUUCCUGGGCUCGCUCUCUAUUAUAUUAUAUCGAUCAUUAAAUUUGAUAUAAGACGCAGACGAUUAUUUAUAUAAAAAAAUGUUGAUGUGUUAAGGAUUACUUAAUUAUUGUACAAUUAUAUUAUGGAGAUAUUUCUUUAACACACGUACGAAGGUGUACAUAAAACUGGUUAUUAUAUUUACCCAGAAAGAAAUUUAUUCCACGUUGGUGAAGUUGUUAUUGGUGCAGCAUCAAAUAUUCGAUCAUCAAUAAUAAUGCUCCACCAUAUUAAUAUAGUUGUUAAAACAACCGUUACGCUAGAGCAUGUUGCCACCCAUCUAUAAUAAUUUACAGGUAAUUUCUGUAUAAUUGCGUUACAUUUUUUAAGUUAUUAAAAUAAAAGUUUAUCCACA